rnacentral:rRNA from 1 species
AUGCGCGGAUCCGGACCUGCUGACCCCCAGCCGGCCAACGAUGGUUUCUUCCUCCCAUCCUUCCGGCAGCCAGUUCGUCCAGAUCGAUCCGCUGCCUCCCGCGUAAGGCAGAGCACAGAUCGAAACUGCCGCCGCCGCCUUCUCCUCCCACCCACUCCUCCCUCGAGACGACCACGUGCGUGUAACUGCGUGAGAGAGCGGAGCCAGUUCCUCUCCUGCUGGCGACGCUCGUGCCGGCCGGUUAGGUUUGCAGUUUGCUUCGUUCAGAAGGGAAAGGGAGGACGGUCCUGGGGUAGGUGUUAUCUGGACCAGUUUGACCCAAUAGGAACGACCAGAACGAAACCCUUCUAUCCAAUCGCUGUGAUCGCUCUAUCAGAGAGGCUGUUUUUUCUAGCUUUCUCAACGCUGCACAGUAAAACGGUGAUGACGUGUGUAGCAUGA